AGUUUCAGGAGGGUGUCCAUAGGAACUGGCAAAGGCUUGAUGAGAAAGAUCUCUUUCUAGCCUUUCCUGCAUCAUAGAUGGGCUCCCGCAUGU